AAGAAAGAAUGCAAGAACUGCUAACUCAUGCCACCGUAAAUUAAACAUACGGCUUUCUUA
rnacentral:tRNA from 1 species